rnacentral:rRNA from 1 species
CAGCCGCCACGGGAAUACGUAGGUGGCAAGCGUUGUCCGGAAUUAUUGGGCGUAAAGGGCUCGCAGGCGGUUUCUUAGGUCUGAUGUGAAAGCCCCCGGCUCAACCGGGGAGGGUCAUUGGAAACUGGGAAACUUGAGUGCAGAAGAGGAGAGUGGAAUUCCACGUGUAGCGGUGAAAUGCGUAGAGAUGUGGAGGAACACCAGUGGCGAAGGCGACUCUCUGGUCUGUAACUGACGCUGAGGAGCGAAAGCGUGGGGAGCGAGCAGGAUUAGAUACCCCCGUAGUCCCUGUCUCUUAUAC